rfam:Felis catus isolate Cinnamon breed Abyssinian chromosome E1, whole genome shotgun sequence.
GCCUGGGUGGCUCAGUCGGUUGAGCGUCUGACUUCGGCUCAGAUCAUGAUCUGGCGGUCCGUGAGUUCGAGCCCCGCGUCGGGCU